CAGUAGCCGCGGGAAUACGGAGGGGGCUAGCGUUGUUCGGAAUUACUGGGCGUAAAGCGCACGUAGGCGGCUUUGUAAGUCAGAGGUGAAAGCCCGGGGCUCAACCCCGGAAUUGCCUUUGAGACUGCAUCGCUUGAAUCCAGGAGAGGUGAGUGGAAUUCCGAGUGUAGAGGUGAAAUUCGUAGAUAUUCGGAAGAACACCAGUGGCGAAGGCGGCUCACUGGACUGGUAUUGACGCUGAGGUGCGAAAGCGUGGGGAGCAAACAGGAUUAGAUACCCCUGUAGUCCCUGUCUCUUAUAC
rnacentral:rRNA from 1 species